rnacentral:lncRNA from 1 species
CUUCUCUUCGCCCGCAUCCCGAUUGGAAAAAAAAAAAAAAAAAAACAUUAUACUCCUCUUCUAUUUUUGAAUAUUAAUAAAUUUAUAUUAGAUAUAUAUACUUUUGACCAACGUCACCUUUCUUUCCACUUUUAAUAUCCGCGUAGUAAAGUUUACGUAAACCUCAGUUAGUGCGGAGGUACUUUUUUUUUUAUGAGAAAGUCUAGAUAACAGAAAAUCAAACUACAUAUUUCGACGUGGCCACGUGGCAUCCAUUGGAUUUCCAGAAAUUCGAUAAAUCUUGUAAAGUUUCGAGAGGUCUAUAUUGUCUUCCAACCAAACCUAGGAGAAUUUUUAGACGAGUAGGAAAUUCCAAAAUUUCUCUUAUAUCCGAAUUGCCUACAUACACACCAAUCAGUCUAGAUUAAAAUAGCAUCCGUUUUCUUUGUUUACAUUUUAAUUAUUAAAAUGAUCCGCUAUAAUUUAAACGAUAUAAAAUUUCGUUGGAAAUUAAUCCGAUAAAAUCGAAAUUUUACAUUAAUUUGCAUAUAUAAAUGACCAUAUUCUUUAAUUUAAAAUUAGUGUAGAGAGUGGUAUCGGUUCUGUAUUAGUGAUUGGAAUUCCAGAAUCGAUUCACACAAAAUCGCUGAUAAACUGCAUUAUUUUUAUUAAUGCAGUGGAUGGCAUAUAGUAACCGUGGACAAAAUUAUAAUAAUUAUUUUAAGUAUUAAGAUUUGAUUUUGUUCUUCUUUACUCUCCAUAUGUCCACAUAAAUAUAGAAAAUAAUAAAAUAGAAAUGCCAAGUUAAAGAGCGUAUGUCUUUCGUGGAAAUUUAGGAUACCGGAAUGAAAAUUAAAAAAACAGAUUACCCGAUUACGCGGUGGUUAAUCCGAAACCGUAACAGAAACGCAUCUGGAACUCAUCGAUCCUUUUAACCAGUUUCAUUCCGUCGUCCUGUUUUUGAUCGAAUCUGAUUUUUGAUAGCCGAAUAUCCGCACGUUUCUAUAAUUUAUCCAGUCUUGGGCAUUUACGUUCGGAAAGUCGAAAUUCAAGUGAAGAAGAAACGUUUUGUUGGGAAUUCGGAGUUAUCAUAACAAGGAGUCACAUUUUACCUCAUUGUUUAUAAAAUAAGGGGCGGAAGAGAAUAUUUAGUUUUCGAGUGAUGGAAGCCAGAAAACGGUAUAAUGGAAUCUAUCGAAAAAAAAAAGGCAUUUGAGACACGUGAUGGUGGAAGAUGGUGCGGAAGAGAAAGGCAAAGGUCGACCAGGGUGUAAUUUUGAAAAAGCAGGGCCGACGGUUGGACCCGAGGAAAUUCGAGACGAAAUUUUUGACUCGGAUCGAUAGCGAACACAAUACCUUUGGCCGGUGGGGGAGCAUGCGCCCGAGGUCUUUGUACCUCCGAGCGUCGAAUGUCCGAAAAUUAUCGGCGACUUACCUACCUGGCAGAAGAAGAGAGUUAAAAAUCUGGUCGGUAGUUAAUAGGAAGCGGAGGCCGAGUCGGGACGCGCCAUUACUUCCAGUUGGCGGUCCUAAUGGUGGUCCAGUAGCGGGAAGGGCGAGGGGAGCCCCCGAGUGACUGGGGAUAUCAGUACGUCAGAGAAACCUAAUUUUUCUUCGGCUAGUGUAUUUCCAGUGGCCGGACCAGAAGGGAAGCAAUUCGGCAUGAAGUAUUUGUGCCGCUCCCCCCCGCGGCGCAGCGUGUCCGCUGGCCGGACUCCAUCUUGUCCAGCUGUGUCUGGGGAGGAGGGGGCGGAGCCGAUAACCGGCACGGCCGGCUACUAUGUCCGGCACUGGACGUUAAUCAUGUCGGCCGAACCCAUUGUAGCCAAUUUUUGUCCCUACACAUAUCCGAGAUAUCGAAGUUAUUAAAGAGCUGAUGAGACUGUCUCCUGCCAGAUACCGGUUGUCCCCCGGUCAUUAGUUACACGUCCCGUAGUCGGACACACACACAUACACACACCCGGGUCUGCUGUCAUUGACAUUCUGUCGCCGCAGCUUUUGGUCAUUACUGUCGUCCUUCUUCUUCUGUCGGUCACAAUUACCCCUCCGUUUUUCUCUUUCCUCUCCCCUUCCGCCCCCACGCCAGGAAUUAAAAAUUUCUGAUCCCCUUCGUAACCCGACAACUUAAUACCUUUAAAGUGGCCCAUUCUCUCUCUCCUCCUCGUCUCACUCUUCUAAUUCAGUUUUUAAGUUGUUGGUCCGAUAAAAAGUUAAAAAAAAUUCAUCAUCUAGUUGUUAUUAAUCGGGAGAGGUGGUAAUAAAGACGCCACAGUUACAUCUUGCUUAACUCUCCCUCUUCUUCUGGAUGCAUUGGAUAAUUUCUCGAAAAUAUUUCUGGCUGUAGAUAAAAGAAGCAGAGCGGAGAAGCGUAUGGGAUUUAUUUCUUAAAUUUCGAUCAUUUUUUUAAGCCGGUUAUUAAAAAUUUUUAAAGGAAAUAUCAGUAGGUAAUUGGAGCGUUUGAUGGUCUUUAUUGUUGUCUUACAACAUGGUUGUUGGCUGGUAUGUCGGUUAAUAAAAAGUAAAAACGGUCCGAUCUUGGUCAACUGGCUGGGGAGAAAGUAACGUAUUCGGAAUGGAACACCAGUUUCUUUUGUCCACAGACUAUACAGAAUGGCUGGCACUUGUAUUUUACAGUAAUAAAAGGAUUUAGGUAGUACUGCAGAUUGUCGGUUCGGAUAAUAAGAAAAGAAAAUUUUAAAGGAAAGUACCUAGGGAGCUCUUUUCCCCCAUGUUUACAGUUUUGAAGAUUCUUUUAGCCGAGAUAAAUUUCUGUAAUAUAUUUGGUUUAAACGGUGCGGAUCGGCGCCUAGGCGAUGAAAGGAAAGUCGAUCCCAAUGGUUAUUUUUUUUAUUACCGUUACACCACGUACACGGCUUUAAAAAACUGGUGGGGUAGGGGAGAAGGCAACGGUCCGCUUUUCCCUCUCGACAGAACGGGGGGCGGUCGACCACUUUCGAGUCGAUUGCCCGCCAUUAACCUCCCAACCCUUCACCUUUCGGCUUUACAUUUUACUAGCGGUUAAAAAAACAUUCCCCUCCACCGCAUCGAUUAGCUCCGCCUGACGAAUUAACGAGUCAAUCCUUCCCCACCGGGGGAAAAGGGGGAUACCUUGGCCAUAAAAAGGCCGGGAUAACCCACCCCUCUCUACCUCCGAAGAGGGGAACGAGUAAGCCCAAAGGGGAGAGUAAUGAAGCGUUAUUACUCUCCUCGGCCCGCUGGCUAAAUGGUUUGGGCAGUGGGUAAUCCUUCUCUUUAACCCCUUGUUCCACCGCCUCCACCACCUCUUCCAAAUAGGAUUAUCUCCAUCAAUUUAAAUGACUUGUUUUUCGUCUGUGUUUUUACGGCGGACCCGGACGGGCUUCAUCUCGUUAAGACGGGACGGAAGACAGAAACGAAUCCCAGUUUUAACCAAGAAACCAUAAAAUCCCAUUUUGAUCGGUCGACGUAGCUUUUUACCCGCUGCUCCACGUACUUCCGUCUUCAUUGUUCUGGUGAUUGGAUGUAACUCCAUCCGCUACAGGUCGGGUAUUCGGAACUGGGUUUUAUUUAAACCCCGACUCGCGCCAUCCGUUGGACUUGUGCCGGCUCGGUUUCGCUUCCUCCAUACCAAUGACUGGGAACACCUCGCGGCCAUGGUAUCCAAUGUACCAGCCAGCUGUAUUUUGUCCGGAUUUGUAUUCUCGGCGGGAAAUGCGCGUAGCAUUCUAGCCCACUACUAACUUCCUAAUACGAUUUUCCGCCAACAAUUUACGGACCGACUUCUGGACCAAGGAACGUAUGGUGGCGUCCGACGCCGGAUUAACCACUUGUCCAACUACUUCAUCGUAUUUCAACCAGUUAAGAGUCGAAUAACACCGCUUUAAUCCGCCACCUCCUACCCCGUGCCAUCCCUCCGCCUCCUUCCACCCGUUCCAGCCAAUUUAGGCAAAUUCCUACUCCGCUCUGUAAUCCUAUUGGUAGUCAAACGGGUAACAAACCGCGCUUCGCUUCAGUUCUCGCAGCGGCGGUUGGACCGACAAAAAUCCAAUAACCAGCAGGUAGCGGUAGGAUGGGGCCUCCACCGGCCUUUUGCACUUUUUAAAAUCGGUAAAGUUGAAAAGUAUUUAAGGGCCGGCCGAGUGUAAUGGCAGAGUCCAGCUCGGUAGGCGCACCUAGGCCGAUAAAAGUGAGGUGGUAGAAGUCGAUAAGGCGCUGGCGGUGACGAGAAAGGCGCGUGGAGUGUUCCUACUGUGACGUAUAAAUUAGAGCGAGACAGUCGAAUGCCUCCGGUCUCCAGUGUCCAGUUAGGCAGCUAAGCCGCCGGACGGUGUUAGGACCUGACACGCUGGACCAUGCACCGGUAUAAGAGAUGAAUGGUUGUUGUGUUGGCGGAUAUGAAAGCUAUAAUUCUCACUUGUCCCACGGUGACCAGGGGUGCCGGCCACGUGACUGACCAGACUGCCAUUGGCUCGAUAGCCAUUUACUUACCCAGGCGCCUUUUUUAUCUUUGUCCGUAUUCGUUUAGAAGAAGUUUCAUUUCUCUAGUUGGCGGGAAAGACGAAAAUUCUUCUUAUAUAUAUAUAGGAGAGAGUCGUCUUUUUUCUUCCUCCCACCCCACACCGACACUCACCCGAAGCAGCUGGCCGGCGAAUUUUUGACUCGGCUGGUGCAAAUUUAUGGCAGACGUUCUAUCUCUUACUGUGGGGUCCUGCCGUUGUGGUCUACUAGGCUUCCCCUCUCUUCCUGCCUCUCGGCGCUUGCAAAUGUCCUGAUGGUGGGGAGAAAGUGCUGGCUGAAAUGCGGUUUCUAUGAGAAGACCGGGAAAAUUCAGUUUUCAGUCCGAGCUUCUGAUUUCUUUUAGUGCUCCCAGGCCAAGUUGCAGCACUCGACGCAUUUGCUUCGUUCUUUUACCCACACCAGAUCUUUUUUCUUUUUUUUUUUUUUUUGCCGUCGGUACUGGUCUUAAAUUCGAAACAAAGUGAUG